AACGAACGCUGGCGGCAUGCCUAACACAUGCAAGUCGAACGGGAUCCUAGCUUGCUAGGUGAGAGUGGCGGACGGGUGAGUAACACGUGGGAAUCUGCCUUUUGGUUCGGGAUAACCGCGGGAAACUGCGGCUAAUACCGAAUGCCCUCGAGAGAGGAAAGAUUUAUCGCCAGAAGAGGAGCCCGCGUCCGAUUAGGUAGUUGGUGGGGUAAAGGCCUACAAGCCGACGAUCGGUAGCUGGUCUGAGAGGAUGAUCAGCCACACUGGGACUGAGAUACGGCCCAGACUCCUACGGGAGCAGCAGUGGGGAAUAUU
rnacentral:rRNA from 1 species